CUCGAGGCCAGAUCUAGAGUUUGAUCCUGGCUGAGAUUGAACGCUGGCGGCAUGCCUUACACAUGCAAGUCGAACGGCAGCAUGGGAGCUUGCUCCUGAUGGCGAGUGGCGAACGGGUGAGUAAUAUAUCGGAACGUGCCCUAGAGUGGGGGAUAACUAGUCGAAAGACUAGCUAAUACCGCAUACGAUCUACGGACGAAAGUGGGGGAUCGCAAGACCUCAUGCUCCUGGAGCGGCCGAUAUCUGAUUAGCUAGUUGGUGGGGUAAAAGCCUACCAAGGCGACGAUCAGUAGCUGGUCUGAGAGGACGACCAGCCACACUGGGACUGAGACACGGCCCAGACUCCUACGGGAGGCAGCAGUGGGGAAUUUUGGACAAUGGGGGCAACCCUGAUCCAGCAAUGCCGCGUGAGUGAAGAAGGCCUUCGGGUUGUAAAGCUCUUUUGUCAGGGAAGAAACGGUAGUAGCUAAUAUCUAUUACUAAUGACGGUACCUGAAGAAUAAGCACCGGCUAACUACGUGCCAGCAGCCGCGGUAAUACGUAGGGUGCAAGCGUUAAUCGGAAUUACUGGGCGUAAA
rnacentral:rRNA from 1 species